GACAUUUACCGCACUACUAAAGCAAUAAACGACAUAUUAUUCCAACGGACAUCAGAUACACUGACCAAACUCAAACUGACACAAUACUCUCAGGGCAACAAAGCCGGGAGAGCACUGGCUUCCCUAUUAAGGCAACACCAAACCAGAUCGAAAAUACCGCAUGUAUUUAACACUGCAGGCAUCAAAAUUACAAACCCACAGCAGAUAAAUGACACCAUGGCGGAGUUUUACGAC